AGAGUUUGAUCAUGGCUCAGGAUGAACGCUAGCGGCAGGCCUAAUACAUGCAAGACGAACGGCAAGAUGUGUAGCAAUACAGAUCCUAGAGUGUCGUAAGGGUGCGUAACAACUAUGCAAUCUGCCCGCAACAGGAGAAUAGCUCCCCGAAAGGGGAAUUAACACUCCAUAAUAUUGGUUGGUGGCAUCACCGGUCAAUUAAAUCUGAGGAGGUUGCGGAUGAGCAUGCUUCUGAUUAGCUAGUUGGUGAGGUAAUGGCUCACCAAGGCGAAGAUCGGUAGCCGGCCUGAGAGGGCGCACGGCCACACUGGAACUGAAACACGGUCCAGACUCCUACGGGAGGCAGCAGUGGGGAAUUUUGCGCAAUGGGGGAAACCCUGACGCAGCAACGCCGCGUGGAGGAUGAAGCCCCUUGGUACGUAAAACCCUUUCGGCAGGGACGAACCUAAUGACGGUACCUGCGGAAGAAGC
rnacentral:rRNA from 1 species